CCAAUUGUUCCUAAUAUUUUUCUAUUUAGCAAGCAAGGUGUUAUCAUUAUUUUUAGAAAUAUUUAUGGCUAACAUGCUAAAUAGAAUAGUAUUGAAAACAGUGUUGAACAAUCUCCUUGCAAAUACAUAUGUUAUUCUCUUCAGACUCUGAGCUGUGUGCAGUGUGUCCUGCAGUCCUGGUUUCAGGAAAUCUCCUCAGGAGGGAGGGAAAGGCUGGAUGCUGCUUUCAUUGCCCCCAUAGUCCAGAGAAUGAGACGUCUCAUGGAACAUGACACCAAGAAGAAACUGCCUGCCAUGGUGGUUCCCACUAUCAGCCGGCGGCGGCGAGCUCCAGGAGGAUGGCAGAGGUAGGCAGAUAUCAAGGAGUAGAAUAUCUUGGUCCACAUAAAUAGCUCUAUGCUAAAUACACACGAAAGAAAACCUGUUCCAAAAAUACGAUUUCCCAGUAAUUGGAAACCAAGAUGAACUUGUCAUUGCAGAUAUACUGUGUGUCCCUUCUUCACAGAGUGUAAGAUCAAACUUUAUCAUGCCAAGAGAACAUUCGUGACAAACUCAGAAACCCGAGCAAAUAGGCAGAUAAGAGCAGAAGUGGUUAAAAUGUGAAUAGAAAAAUGUAACCAGGUGCUGGGCGGUGUCCUGUUUCUAAAGGACACAAAAAACAAUUGUUAAAAAGCCCACACAUGCUUUGCUAAUACACAACUAUUGCUGUUCUACAACAUCUUCCUGUCUGUAACGUGCUGUCGAUUCUGUUUUUAGAGAGGAAAAAAAACCAAAAAAUCUUUGUCAAAGGCUUUCUGUUCUCUGAGUAUCCAUGCCGAAAAAAGAGGAAGUGGUGCAGCCUUUAAUCCCAGCACUCAGAAGGCACAGGCAGGCGGAUCUGGCUAGCCCUGUCCUGGAAACAUAACUUGCAAAGAACAGGCUGGCCUCCAACUCAGUCAUGCCGGAUUAAAGGCUGAAUCCACCAUCCACCUGCCGGUCUGGAUUGACUGCAACUGCCCUCCUUCCCCAAGUCACGAAUCACACACAUACGAAAGAAGAAAUUUAGGAAGACAUCUCUUCCCCUACAACCCGUGCCCUCUUCCACGGUAUACUCAAAUAAAUGAAUGAAUGAAUGAAUGAAUAAAUAAAUAAAUAAAUAAACCAAAGAAUGAGAAGUU